AAUGGACGAAAGUCUGAUCCAGCUAUGCCGCGUGCAGGAUGACGGCCUAUGGGUUGUAAACUGCUUUUAUACAGGAAGAAAACUCCGACGUGUCGGAACUUGACGGUACUGUAAGAAUAAGGAUCGGCUAACUCCGUGCCAGCAGCCGCGGUAAUACGGAGGAUCCAAGCGUUAUCCGGAAUCAUUGGGUUUAAAGGGUCCGUAGGCGGUUUUUUAAGACAGAGGUGAAAUCCUGCCGCUUAACGGUAGAACUGCCUUUGAUACUGAUUAACUUGAGUUAUUGUGAAGUAGUUAGAAUAUGUAGUGUAGCGGUGAAAUGCAUAGAUAUUACAUAAAAUACCGAUUGCGAAGGCAGAUUACUAACAAUAUACUGACACUGAGGGACGAAAGCGUGGGUAGCGAACAGGAUU
rnacentral:rRNA from 1 species